UAUGGUUUUUCUGAUUGUUAAAGUUUUGUUUCAUUUUUAUUUAAGUUGGUGAUACGAUCAUUCCGUUCUAAUUAGUUAAAAGAACACACAUUUUGAAAUUGCAAACUCAUAACAUUGUAAUUUCCUUUUUGCAACUACUUAAGUACAUUUAUUGUAGUAAAAAAAAAAAAAAACACUUGCUUGGAGCACAUAAAACAUUAACUUAUUAAAUUCUAUGUUACCUGUUAUUGUUGUUAAGUUUAUCGUGUUAUAGGACUUUGAGUAUUAUUUUAUGUACUGUGAUUCAGUAUAAUUAUUAAGUUGGGAUAAAUAUUUAAUUUCAUUUCAUUGAAUAGUAUUCUUCAUUAAUAGGCAUUUUUAUUUGUAAAUGCAAUUUCUUUUUUUCAACAUUCAGUUGAAUUUAACAAUGAAUAUUGUGAGAUAGCUAUUUGUUAGUAAGAUUUCAUUUAUCAUUUUCUUUUUCCUAACUUUUAGAUGAAAAAUUGAUUUUUAUAGUAUUUAAAAAAAAAGAUCUAUGCAUCAAAAAGUAUAUA